GUAGGUGGCAAGCGUUGUCCGGAGUUAUUGGGCGUAAAGCGCGCGCAGGCGGUUCUUUAAGUCUGAUGUGAAAGCCCACGGGCUCAACCGUGGAGGGUCAUUGGAAACUGGAGAACUUGAGUACAGAAGAGGAAAGCGGAAUUCCACGUGUAGCGGUGAAAUGCGUAGAGAUGUGGAGGAACACCAGUGGCGAAGGCGGCUUUCUGGUCUGUAACUGACGCUGAGGCGCGAAAGCGUGGGGAGCAAACAGGAUUAGAUACCCUGGUAGUCCACGCCGUAAACGAUGAGUGCUAAGUGUUAGGGGGUUUCCGCCCCUUAGUGCUGCAGCUAACGCAUUAAGCACUCCGCCUGGGGAGUACGGCCGCAAGGCUG
rnacentral:rRNA from 1 species